CUUCCCGCGGCCGCCUCUGUGUGUACAAACACAAAAGACACGCCGCGCGCGCCGCAGACGGAGAGCGAGCGAGGGAGCGAAGCAGGGAAUCCCCCCUUGGCCCUCCUGGCUUCCUUCCCCCGCCAGAGGGGAGCACGAGGCCCCAAGUCAGCGCCCAACGGUCCAGCGGGAGGAGACCCCUAACCGCCAGGAUCCGGCGGCGCGAGAGGACUGACAUCAUUGCAGCACUUGCAGUGGAUUUUUAUGCAAUGUGAAGAUUACGCUUCAAGUCAACAAGUGGUGUUUGGAGUUGGCGAACUGGCCCAACUUCAAUGUUUUGCUCCUCCAGUAAUUCUACAGCUUGCCUUCCUCAGACUAUUCACAUUGAAGCUUAAACCACUAGCUCCACCAGCUUAGGUGGCUUCAGUGACUGGCAGCUUGCUCUUUUUAUGCUCAUCUGUUAAAACCACAAUACAGUGGAACGUUGGUUUUCAAACGUAAUCCGUUCCGGAAAUCUGUUUGACGUUCAAAAAUCAAGGAUCAAAAGUCUGGCUGCAAGGUCAAUGUGGAAAAAAGAAAAAUGUGCCACAGAAGCCGUUCACCUUCCAAGGCGCAUUCAAAAACGGAAGCAUUCACUUCCGUGUUUUCGGUGUUCGGCUUAUGAAACGUUCAGCAGCUGAGACUUUCAAAAAACGAGGUUUGACUGUACUGGAACUUCUGGACCAUACACACACAGAGAGAGAUUUGUAAUGCCCAGAUUUAAAGAAUGAGAGCUAGCUUAAAGGAAUAAAAAGUUCAUUCCACAA